GACGAAGGUGGCGGGCGUUGUUCGGAAUCACUGGGCAUAAAGCGCACGUAGGCGGCGACGUAAGUUGGGUGUGAAAUCCCUCGGCCCAACCGAGGAACUGCGCCCAGUACUGCGUUGCUUGAGGAUCCAAGGGGUGCAUGGAAUUCCCGGUGGAGCGGUGAAAUGCGUUGAUAUCGGGAGGAACUCCGGCGGCGAAAGCGGUGCACUGGUGGAUUACUGACGCUGAGGUGCGAAAGCCAGGGGAGCAAACGGG
rnacentral:rRNA from 1 species